rnacentral:rRNA from 1 species
UACGUAGGGGGCUAGCGUUGUCCGGAAUCAUUGGGCGUAAAGGGCGCGUAGGCGGCUCUGCACGUCCGUUGUGAAAUCGCCCGGCUCAACUGGGCGGGGUCAGCGGAUACGGCGGAGCUUGAGCAAGCUAGGGGGCAAUGGAAUUCCCGGUGUAGUGGUGGAAUGCGUAGAUAUCGGGAGGAACACCAGUGGCGAAGGCGGCUCACUGGCCCGGAACUGACGCUGAGACGCGAAAGCGUGGGGAGCAAACAGG